CCGGCGACGACGCUCGGGUCCACGCGGCUCGCCGCUGUGACCUCCGGCCGUCCGGCGUAUGGAGUGCGAGGUGAGGCAACGGUUUCAUCCGGUGCAUGUCUUCAUCAUGGUUUCUGACAAAGUUCUGACGAGGCGCUCGGAUCUUGCCAGGACGUGAGAAGCUUGCAGAAGCACCGGCUCUCACUCCUCUUCUCCCGAUCAGCUUUCUCCUACGUGGAUGGAUGAAGCCAUUUGCAGUGUGAAUGGCCUGAAGGAAGGAAGGCAUUGAUCUCCUGGCUGCGUCGGAGGAGGGUGUCGACCCCUAUAUCAAGUAGGAGGUAGGUUGUCGAAGCCGACGGUUUGUCCGCCACGUACGAUUACCGCAAUUGUCCCAUUUACCGUGAACUAUCAUGACGAGAGACUAUCUGAGACCAUAAAAAAACUACUAUAAUCGUGUUUUGUGAUGACGGUCUCGAAGCCUGAUAGGAGGAUCCUGUUCGAUUUAUUGUCAUUUUUGUGCAUCCCUGAUAUGUUUGGAAAUUGGGAAAUUUGGUCCAAAUUAC
rnacentral:lncRNA from 1 species